rnacentral:ribozyme from 1 species
AAAAGAGAAAACAAAAAGAAGAAAAUGAUGAAAAAUGAUUAUCACAAAUUUUAAUUUGUCAUUUUUCAUUUUACAUUUUCUUCUUUUUAUUUGUUUUCUUCUUUUUAAAAAAGGAAAGAAGAGACGGUCUAUAAGAGCGAAGCUAAGGCCUGAAGGCCAGCCAAGCAAAGCUUGUUCGCUCUUAUUAUCGUGACCGUCUCUUGUCUCUUGACAUCUCAUGCUUUCCCUCUUUCUUUGUAAAAGAAAAGAAAGAAAGAGGAAGAGAAAGCAUGAGAUUU